ACUAAUCCUAGCCCUAGCCCUACACAAAUAUAAUUAUACUAUUAUAUAAAUCAAAACAUUUAUCCUACUAAAAGUAUUGGAGAAAGAAAUUCGUACAUCUAGGAGCUAUAGAACUAGUACCGCAAGGGAAAGAUGAAAGACUAAUUAAAAGUAAGAACAAGCAAAGAUUAAACCUUGUACCUUUUGCAUAAUGAACUAACUAGAAAACUUCUAACUAAAAGAAUUACAGCUAGAAACCCCGAAACCAAACGAGCUACCUAAAAACAAUUUUAUGAAUCAACUCGUCUAUGUGGCAAAAUAGUGAGAAGAUUUUUAGGUAGAGGUGAAAAGCCUAACGAGCUUGGUGAUAGCUGGUUACCCAAAAAAUGAAUUUAAGUUCAAUUUUAAACUUGCUAAAAAAACAACAAAAUCAAAAAGUAAGUUUAGAUUAUAGCCAAAAGAGGGACAGCUCUUCUGGAACGGAAAAAACCUUUAAUAGUGAAUAAUUAACAAAACAGCUUUUAACCAUUGUAGGCCUAAAAGCAGCCACCAAUAAAGAAAGCGUUCAAGCUCAACAUAAAAUUUCAAUUAAUUCCAUAAUUUACACCAACUUCCUAAACUUAAAAUUGGGUUAAUCUAUAACUUUAUAGAUGCAACACUGUUAGUAUGAGUAACAAGAAUUCCAAUUCUCCAGGCAUACGCGUAUAAUAACUCGGAUAACCAUUGUUAGUUAAUCAGACUAUAGGCAAUAAUCACACUAUAAAUAAUCCACCUAUAACUUCUCUGUUAACCCGACACCGGAAUGCCUAAAGGAAAGAUCCAAAAAGAUAAAAGGAACUCGGCAAACAAGAACCCCGCCUGUUUACCAAAAACAUCACCUCUAGCAUUACAAGUAUUAGAGGCACUGCCUGCCCAGUGACUAAAGUUUAACGGCCGCGGUAUCCUGACCGUGCAAAGGUAGCAUAAUCACUUGUUCCUUAAUUAGGGACUAGCAUGAACGGCUAAACGAGGGUCCAACUGUCUCUUAUCUUUAAUCAGUGAAAUUGACCUUUCAGUGAAGAGGCUGAAAUAUAAUAAUAAGACGAGAAGACCCUAUGGAGCUUAAAUUAUAUAACUUAUCUAUUUAAUUUAUUAAACCUAAUGGCCCAAAAACUAUAGUAUAAGUUUGAAAUUUCGGUUGGGGUGACCUCGGAGAAUAAAAAAUCCUCCGAAUGAUUAUAACCUAGACUUACAAGUCAAAGUAAAAUCAACAUAUCUUAUUGACCCAGAUAUAUUUUGAUCAACGGACCAAGUUACCCUAGGGAUAACAGCGCAAUCCUAUUUAAGAGUUCAUAUCGACAAUUAGGGUUUACGACCUCGAUGUUGGAUCAGGACAUCCCAAUGGUGUAGAAGCUAUUAAUGGUUCGUUUGUUCAACGAUUAAAGUCCUACGUGAUCUGAGUUCAGACCGGAGCAAUCCAGGUCGGUUUCUAUCUAUUUACGAUUUCUCCCAGUACGAAAGGACAAGAGAAAUAGAGCCACCUUACAAAUAAGCGCUCUCAACUUAAUUUAUGAAUAAAAUCUAAAUAAAAUAUAUACGUACACCCUCUAACCUAGAGAAGGUU
rnacentral:rRNA from 1 species